UUCCCUGGCAGACAAUUUGAGGCCUAGCUCCAUGUUGUGAUGCUGAUACAACAGAACACUGUGUACAUACAUAUGUGCCCUCCUCUGGCACAGAAGAAAUGCUUUCCUUGUGUAGACAGAGUGCUAAUUAAAGGAUUUUGAACAUACUGAUUAAAAGAGACCACGUGUCAGUAUUUGGAUUUCCUGAAGAUGAUCCCCCAGUUCUCCAUAAACACAUCUACAUUGUUUCAUUAGCAGUGCAAAGUGAAGACGAAGACUUUUCUUGGCCAUUGCUUGACCCUGAGCAAAGCUGUGAAUAUAGUUGAGUGAUUCUCCAGACAGACCAGCUGCAGAGUUUCCCUCCUAGAGGGGGACAGAAAGAGACUUUCAGUCCUCUCAGGCUGAAAUGGGAGAACCAUCCUACCUUGAAUAAAUGGGCCCAUUGUUAAUUUUAA